rnacentral:rRNA from 1 species
GACGAACGCUGGCGGCGUGCUUAACACAUGCAAGUCGAACGGAAAGGCCCUGCUUUUGUGGGGUGCUCGAGUGGCGAACGGGUGAGUAACACGUGAGUAACCUGCCCUUGACUUUGGGAUAACUUCAGGAAACUGGGGCUAAUACCGGAUAGGAGCUCCUGCUGCAUGGUGGGGGUUGGAAAGUUUCGGCGGUUGGGGAUGGACUCGCGGCUUAUCAGCUUGUUGGUGGGGUAGUGGCUUACCAAGGCUUUGACGGGUAGCCGGCCUGAGAGGGUGACCGGCCACAUUGGGACUGAGAUACGGCCCAGACUCCUACGGGAGGCAGCAGUGGGGAAUAUUGCACAAUGGGCGGAAGCCUGAUGCAGCGACGCCGCGUGCGGGAUGACGGCCUUCGGGUUGUAAACCGCUUUCGCCUGUGACGAAGCGUGAGUGACGGUAAUGGGUAAAGAAGCACCGGCUAACUACGUGCCAGCAGCCGCGGUGAUACGUAGGGUGCGAGCGUUGUCCGGAUUUAUUGGGCGUAAAGGGCUCGUAGGUGGUUGAUCGCGUCGGAAGUGUAAUCUUGGGGCUUAACCCUGAGCGUGCUUUCGAUACGGGUUGACUUGAGGAAGGUAGGGGAGAAUGGAAUUCCUGGUGGAGCGGUGGAAUGCGCAGAUAUCAGGAGGAACACCAGUGGCGAAGGCGGUUCUCUGGGCCUUUCCUGACGCUGAGGAGCGAAAGCGUGGGGAGCGAACAGGCUUAGAUACCCUGGUAGUCCACGCUGUAAACGGUGGGUACUAGGUGUGGGGUCCAUUCCACGGGUUCCGUGCCGUAGCUAACGCUUUAAGUACCCCGCCUGGGGAGUACGGCCGCAAGGCUAAAACUCAAAGGAAUUGACGGGGCCCCGCACAAGCGGCGGAGCAUGCGGAUUAAUUCGAUGCAACGCGUAGAACCUUACCUGGGUUUGACAUGGAUCGGGAGCGCUCAGAGAUGGGUGUGCCUCUUUUGGGGUCGGUUCACAGGUGGUGCAUGGCUGUCGUCAGCUCGUGUCGUGAGAUGUUGGGUUAAGUCCCGCAACGAGCGCAACCCUUGUUCACUGUUGCCAGCACGUUAUGGUGGGGACUCAGUGGAGACCGCCGGGGUCAACUCGGAGGAAGGUGGGGAUGACGUCAAGUCAUCAUGCCCCUUAUGUCCAGGGCUUCACGCAUGCUACAAUGGCUGGUACAGAGAGUGGCGAGCCUGUGAGGGUGAGCGAAUCUCGGAAAGCCGGUCUCAGUUCGGAUUGGGGUCUGCAACUCGACCUCAUGAAGUCGGAGUCGCUAGUAAUCGCAGAUCAGCAACGCUGCGGUGAAUACGUUCCCGGGGCU